GAUGAACGCUGGCGGCGUGCCUAAUACAUGCAAGUCGAACGAAGAUCUAGCUUGCUAGAUCUUAGUGGCGAACGGGUGAGUAAUACAUAAAUAAUCUGCCCAUAUGACUGGGAUAACUAUUGGAAACGAUAGCUAAUACCGGAUAGGUUGAUUGGAGGCAUCUCUGAUUAAUUAAAGUAGGACUUCUACACAAAUGGAUGAGUUUAUGGCGCAUUAGUUAGUUGGUGGGGUAACGGCCUACCAAGACGAUGAUGCGUAGCCGACCUGAGAGGGUGACCGGCCACACUGGGACUGAGACACGGCCCAGACUCCUACGGGAGGCAGCAGUAGGGAAUUUUCGGCAAUGGGCGCAAGCCUGACCGAGCAACGCCGCGUGAGUGAUUAAGGCCUUCGGGUUGUAAAGCUCUGUUGUAAGGGAAGAACAUUCAGGAUAGGAAAUGAUCUUGAACUGACGGUACCUUACCAGAAAGCCACGGCUAACUACGUGCCAGCAGCCGCCGUAA
rnacentral:rRNA from 1 species